rnacentral:rRNA from 1 species
UACGUAGGGUGCGAGCGUUAAUCGGAAUUACUGGGCGUAAAGCGCGCGCAGGCGGCUAUCCAAGUCAGUGGUGAAAGCCCGGAGCUCAACUCCGGAACUGCCAUUGAAACUGUUUAGCUUGAGGACGAGAGAGGUGAGUGGAAUUCCCAGUGUAGAGGUGAAAUGCGUAGAUAUUGGGAGGAACACCGGUGGCGAAGGCGGUUCUCUGGGCAUUACCUGACGCUGAGGAGCGAAAGUGUGGGGAGCGAAGCAGG